GGGAGAAGAGACAGUCGGUCUCGCUCCCCAGCAGCAGGACAAUGUAUUGGGAGUGGAGACCAUCGGUUCCCCUUCCCAGGGGCAGUAUAUGGUUCAGGGAGAAGAGCCUAUUACCACCUCUCCCCAGUGGCAGCUUAUUCACCAAAGGGAAGGCCCUAGUCUCCCAGAUGACACAGACGGGGCCAUGACCUCUGUACCUGAACCACAGGGAUGCG